AAGCCAAUGAUCAAUCUUUCGAGAGAGUGAUUUGGUGGAAAGUGGCGGAAGGGUGAGUAACGCGUGGGCAAGCUGCCUUGAAGCUGGGGAUAACCCCGGGAAACCGGGGCUAAUACCGAAUGUGGUCUUCUGGCGCAUGUCAGGAUGACUAAAGGCGGGGAUCCUUCGGGACCUGUCGCUUUGAGAGGCGCCCGCGUGCCAUCAGCUUGUUGGUAGGGUAAUGGCCUACCAAGGCUUACGGCUAGCCGGCCUGAGAGGGUGACCGGCCACACUGGGACUGAGACACUGCCCAGACUCCUACGGGAGGCUGCAGUCGAGGAUCAUUCGCAAUGCGCGAAAGCGUGACGAUGCGACGCUGCGUGGAGGAUGACGGCCUUCGGGUUGUAAACUCCUGUCAUGAGGGAAAAGCCGUCCUGUUCUUAAUAGGGGCAGGGCCCGAUGGUACCUCAGGAGGAAGCCACGGCUAACUCUGUGCCAGCAGCCGCGGUAAUACAGAGGUGGCGAGCGUUGUUCGGAUUUACUGGGCGUAAAGGGUGCGUAGGUGGUUUCGUAUGUCGGAUGUGAAAGCCCAUGGCUCAACUGUGGAAUUGCAUUCGAAACUGCGUAACUAGAGUGCAGGAU
rnacentral:rRNA from 1 species